UUGGAGGGCAAGUCUGGUGCCAGCAGCCGCGGUAAUUCCAGCUCCAAUAGCGUAUAUUAAAGUUGUUGCAGUUAAAAAGCUCGUAGUUGAAUUUCGGGGUUAGUAGGCUGGUCGUGCCACCGGUAUGUACUGGUCUUACUGAUUCCUCCUUCCUGAUGAACUGUAAUGCCAUUAAUUUGGUGUUGCAGGGAAUCUGGACUGUUACUUUGAAAAAAUUGAGUGUUUAAAGCAGGCUAACGCUUGAAUACAUUAGCAUGGAAUAAUGAAAUAGGACGUUCGAUCCUAUUUUGUUGGUUUCUAGGAUUGACGUAAUGAUUAAUAGGGAUAGGUUGGGGGCAUUAGUAUUCAAUUGUCAGAGGUGAAAUUCUUGGAUUUUAUUGAAGACUAACUACUGCGAAAGCAUUUGCCAAGGAUGUUUCAUUAAUCAAGAACGAAAGUUAGGGGAUCGAAGACGAUCAGA
rnacentral:rRNA from 1 species